GUCUACGGCCAUACCACUGAGAAAGCACCGGUUCUCGUCCGAUCACCGAAGUUAAGCUCAGUAGGGCGCGGUUAGUACUUGGAUGGGUGACCGCCUGGGAAUACCGUGUGCUGUAGNNN
rnacentral:rRNA from 1 species